CGAGAAUGAAGUGAGACAGAGAAGCACGAUGGAUGAAUUCAGAUGGAUUCAAAUGUUUUUAUGUCUGAUGAUUCAGAUUGCAGUCUUCUCAACAGUAUCUGUAAAUGAAACAUCCAUGUUUAUGAAAGUUGGAGAUGACGUCACUCUGCUUUGUCUAAAUGUGAUAGAUGACCAGAAUAACUG
rnacentral:lncRNA from 1 species